rnacentral:lncRNA from 1 species
AAAUCUUGAAAGAGAAGGCAAGUGCAUAAUAUGAGAUCAUACAAAAACAAAAAUAGUAUGUAUUUUCUUUAAAAGAAAAAAAAAGAAAAAAAAAAGAAAAAAAAAAGAAAAGAAAACACAAAAGAGAAGAAUGCACUUGUCGAGACCUAAGACUCUAACAGAUAUAAAAUGCUCGGAAAAUGUGAGUAGAAAAAGAGUCAAAAGAGUGAAAUUAACCCCCAGAGUAUACGUGAUGCACGAGAAAAAAAAGAGAAAGAAAAAUCACACAACAUGACCACCGGGUUCAAAACCCUUUGUUAUCCAAUUUUUUU